CUCCCUCUCAUUCAUUAUAUCCCUUCUUGUCACUUUCCAUUAGCUGAUCAUGACAUCCUUUGCUGGAAGGGCGAGCAAGCAGAUUACUUCCAAACUGGUGACAGAAGAGCUCCUUGGCACUGGACGCCUCCGGGUCUGGUGAGAGAGGAAUGGUUAGGAGACUGUUCUGAGGAUACACAGACAUCAUCCAAAACUUCCUACAUUCAGAUGAAGAGGUUGGACCAGAGCUUUGCAUGCUUGUUACCUAAGGACGGUUCUGAUCAUGCGAGCAAAUCACAGAAGGGUCCCAUGGGAACAGAAAGUUUUGAGGGAGUUUACUGUUUGUGCAAGAUGACUGGUUGGGUAAAGAAGUCCAAAGUUUUUUAUCUGCAGAACAAACAAAGCCUGGGCAAAGCUUGCAAGAUAAAAUUUGUACUUGUCAGCGUGAGUGGUCCUUCAUGACUCAGCUCUGCUCACCGUCCCAGCCUCAUCUUUGGAUUCAGCCACUUCUGUUUUGACUGGAAUAAAACCAACUAUUCCUUAACUGGGUCUUGCA
rnacentral:lncRNA from 13 species